rnacentral:rRNA from 1 species
AUGGCUCCUACCAUCUCACUAGUUAGCGAUCUCAUUGACUUUGAGAACUGGUCCUGGAAGCAAGACUUAGUUUGUCAGAAUUUUAUCGCACCGGAUGCGGAGGCUAUACUCAAUAUUCCUCUACGACGCGGCGAUGGUGAAGAUUCAUUGGCAUGGGCACAUGAGAGGACAGGCAACUACAUUGUUAAGUCAGCGUACCGAGCUCUAGUGACUCAAAAAGAGCAUCUAGCUCGAGAAGAAGGGCGGGUUACGGAAGCUUCAGCUAAUAAACAACAGUUGUGGAAAGCACUGUGGUCUCUCAAAGUCGUACCAAAAGUACGAGUGUUCUGGUGGAGGGUACUACGUGGUAUUCUUCCGGAUGAAUGCAUGCUCAAUUAUUGGCAUAUCCGAGACACAAGUCUAUGCAAGCUCUGUCAGGCACAUGACGAAGGCUUACAACAUGCUCUCGUUCACUGCUCACAUGCCCGAGGAUUUUGGGAGGAAGCGUGCCAGCUCCUGGAUAUGAAACUUCCGCGGCUCCACCCAUCCACUUGGGCCUCUGAUAUUUUAUGUGAAUCAAGGUUCUCAGCGAGAGAACGAUCAACGAUUAUCACUGUGAUGUGGUCCAUUUGGACUGUGGACUCAUGA